rnacentral:rRNA from 1 species
AUGGCUGAAGAUACGCUCAAGGGAGGGCCUAAAGGUCGCCGUAGUCAUCCCAUCAGUGAAACUCCAUUUGAGGCAUUUUAUGAUGGCUCAUGGCAUGGAGUUAAUUGUAUAAAGGUCAGGGAUGGCGGUCUGUUCGUUAUAUUUAUCUACUCUGGUUCCACAGUCGAGCAUAAUGUGGAUGGGGAACAUCUGCGCCUACGCUCCAGAAGAGCUACGUACUUCGACUGCUCGCAUGUUCUCAAGCCAGGUGUUGAUAUCUGUGUACAAUCAUCUCAUCCACUGCAAGGAAGUCCAACUGGGGAAUUGAAAUCUUUGAUGUUACUGUCUCAUGAUGCAAGGCUCAUCACAAUCAAAAGAAAUCAUAUUGAAGAUCAGUGUCUCUGCUUGUUUGUUAUUAUGCUCCACAAGAACCAAUGUCCUGACAAUACAGAAAAUGGAGAAGUGAUAUCUGAUAGAAGAGAGCAGCUGGUGACCCUAAACAAUAUCUUCCUCUUGCAAAAGCUCCAACCUAAGGAGCUCCAUGAGGGAAGCGUACAAUGGAGUUCUGCAGAGGACUGCCUCUCUCACAACAGAAGCAAGCUGUUAAGUGCAAGAUUCUCCCAAGAAAUUGCACAUCUCGUAGUUUUGUCUAUCCUGAAUGGAAUGGAGUUCAGCAUCAAGUUGGUAGAAGGAAACAUCAUCUAUAGAAUCAUCAAAGGAGGCCGAGCGCGUUGUAAUCUUGAUUCCAUGAGCACACCUCCAGGCUUUGGCAACAGCAUGGAGAUAGUUUCAUUCCAACUGCGCAAUGAGGCUUUAUGUCCAAUUAUCAGAAAUAUCCCUGUCACUCAUGCAAAGAAGCGCAAUCUCACAGAAGACGCGGGAUUCACUAUGAAGGCUGAACUGGAUGGUCAAUUGGAAGACAGGAGAUUUACAGUCAAGACUGAGUUGGAUGGUCUUUUGGAUGUUUUCUCGUAUGAACAAGUGGAUUUGAGGCGCUCAAAGCGUCGGAAAACUCAAGCAGAGCGCUUUACUAGCUAUGAUACGCCUAAUUUCGGCCGUGACAGGUGGAAGAGAUGUGAUGCACCUUCCACCAAGCAUGGCAAUUCACAAAGAGCUUCACGUCGAGAUUCACCAGUUGCAGUAGAAUCAACCUAUGCAGAGGUCCCAGUGAAUAUCACACGGAAACAAACAAGUGCAACCGCUUUCGUGGUCAAGGAAAACCCAAACUCCGCAGAAGGGAAGCAUAAGAGCACAGCAAGGAUAACUCCUGUUAAGGAAAAACCCAGCUCUAUGGAAGUUAAGGAGGAGAGCACAUUUGAAGAAAGAUCUCCGGGUCCUCAUGUUCCACGGACACCUGCAAAGAGUAAGGAGAAGAAUCUUUGCCCCCCUUUAUCUCUUCGGCGGAAGUCAUUUACUUCAUCACGCGGCCUAAAUGGCAAUUCUGAGCCAGUAUUUGGUCGGAAAAGGAAGGAACGCAUAUGCGAAAGAGAAUACAAGAAAAUGAUAAACCAAUGCAUAGGAAACAUCCAGAGUGAAAUGGAGAGGGACUUUGAGUUCAAUCUAGGUGUUCCGAUGAUGAAUUACGAUCAAGGUUUUUACGGAGAAGUGAAUUUCACAUGGCCAGCUUCUUCUGCCGAUAAUGACAGUCAAGAAGAGAAAGAUGGUCUUGAGGAAUUUUGGGAAGAAAUGGACCACUCAUUGACCACACUAGCGCUUGAGAAAAAUCAGGACUCACAUUCAGAAGCAGUUCAUGAAGCCACUGCUGGUUUAGGUAAAAGUGAAGAAAAUCCAUGUGAUCAUGACUGCAUGCUGGAUGAGGGGCUUGGACUGGUGUGCAGAUUAUGUAAUGUUGUAUGUGUGGAGAUAAAGCAUAUCUUUCCGCAAAUGGCCAAUGGUAAUGGCUAUAAUAAGGAGAGACCUGGAUGCCGCAAUUGUGAUCCUGAUGAUCUUGUACUUGAUCCUUCUCUUCUUGCAAUCUUGGGACCAGAGUUUUCAGAACUGAGGGGCUCCGGGAACCUGUGGAGUUUAAUACCAGAUCUUGAGCCUAAACUACUUCCUCACCAAAGGAAUGCAUUCGAAUUCAUUUGGAAAAACUUGGCGGGAUCGCUGCAACUCGAGGAAAUGGAUAAUCCAACAGCCAGUACAGGUGGCUGUGUGGUUGCACAUACUCCUGGAUCAGGGAAAACUCUGCUGCUGAUCUCAUUUCUUGUCAGUUACUUGAAAGUUCACCCGAGAAGCCGGCCGUUGGUGCUUACUCCAAAAUCUGCUAUCCAUACAUGGAUGAGAGAAUUUGAGAAAUGGGGCAUUUCACUUCCUCUGCAUGUGCUUCACCAGGUUGACAAAAGAGGCAAGCCAAUGGGGCCUAUUGAUCCUAGGCUGCAGGCAAUUUUAAGCAAUUUUCGCCGCCCGAACUGGAAAAGUAUUUGCCUUGUGGAUCGGCUGGACAAGUUAUGCAAGUGGCAUGAGCACCCCAGUGUUCUCCUCAUGACAUACUCAUCUUUCUUACGGCUGGCCAAACAAGACUCAAGAAUGCCGCAGCGAGCAUUCAUGGCGCAAGUCCUGAUCAACAACCCUGGGCUGUUGAUCCUCGACGAGGGUCACAACCCAAGGAGCAACAAAUCCAAGUUGCGGAGGGUGCUGAUGAAGGUGAAGACUGAGUUUAGAAUCCUCAUGUCUGGUACGGUCUUCCAGAAUAACUUUGAAGAGUAUUUCAACACCCUAUCUCUGGCCAGACCUCGGUUUGUGGACGAUGUUAUGACCGCGCUUGUCCCGGAAAGGAAGAAGGAAACGAGGGGCAGGAGAGCUAAACAUAGAGAAGCAGUGGCAAGGCGCAUCUUCGUGGACAGAGUUGGGCAGAUGAUUGAGUCCAGCGACAACUGGGACCGGCAAGGUGGUAUCAGCUUGUUAAACAAGCUUACAUGUGGGUUCAUCGAUUCAUUCGAAGGGUCAAAGCUAAGGAGCCUUCCAGGGAUACAUGUAUACACAAUUUUCAUGAAACCCACUGAAAUUCAGGAGGAUAUACUUUCAAGAAUAUCGAUGGCCACGUCAUGCGGUGGCCGUUACCUUCUCGAGGUUGAGCUGCUCAUCACCAUUGCUUCUAUCCAUCCAUGGCUUAUAAAAACAACCAAAUCUUCUAGCACUUACUUCACUCCAGAAGAAAUUCAUAAAGUUGACAGGUACAAGAGGGACUUUGCUGUCGGUUGCAAGGCGAGGUUUGUCAUCGACCUGCUGCACAAGUCGUCGUACAGGGGGGAGAGGGUGCUGAUAUUCUGCCACAACGUGUCCCCGAUAAGCUUUCUCGUCGAGUUGAUCGAGAAUGUGUUCGGAUGGCGCCUCGGGGAGGAAGUCCUGGUGCUCCAAGGUGAUCAGGAGCUGCCUGUCCGCUCCGACGUCAUGGAUAAGUUUAACACCGACAGUCAAGGUAAGAGGAAGGUGCUCAUUGCUUCGACGACGGCCUGCGCCGAGGGUAUCAGCUUGACAGGUGCAUCAAGGUUGGUCAUGCUGGAUUCGGAGUGGAACCACUCCAAGACCAGGCAGGCGAUCGCGCGGGCGUUCAGGCCCGGCCAGGAGAGGACCGUGUAUGUCUACCUGCUGGUGGCAUCUGGUACAUGGGAGGAGGACAAGUACAGCCGCAACAGGAGGAAGGCUUGGAUGGCCAAGAUGGUCUUCCACGGACGCUAUUUCGAUGUUCCGCUACGGAACGCGGUGACUGCUAUCGAUGAUGGUCUUCUCAAGGAGCUUGCUGAUGAAGAUAAGACCAAAACCUUCCAUAUGAUAGUUAAGCAGGACUGA